rnacentral:rRNA from 1 species
AGCGAACGUUUGCGGCGGGCCUAACACAUGCAAGUCGAACGCACUAGCAAUAGUGAGUGGCGCACGGGUGCGUAACACGUGGGUAAUCAACCCUUCAGCUUGGGAUAACGACUUGAAAGGGUCGCUAAUACCGGAUACGGCGCGAGAGGCUUCGGCUUCUCACGAGAAAGCCUCGCAAGGGGCACUGAAGGACGAGCCUGCGGCCCAUCAGCUAGUUGGUGAGGUAAGAGCUCACCAAGGCUAAGACGGGUAGCUGGUCUGAGAGGAUGAUCAGCCACACUGGAACUGAGACACGGUCCAGACUCCUACGGGAGGCAGCAGUGGGGAAUAUUGCGCAAUGGGCGAAAGCCUGACGCAGCCACGCCGCGUGAGCGAUGAAGGCCUUCGGGUCGUAAAGCUCUGUGGGGAGAGACGAAGAAAGCCCGUGAAGAGCGGGCCUUGGCGGUAUCUCCUUAGCAAGCACCGGCUAACUCCGUG